AUGUAUAAUUAUGUAUGAUAAUGAGUUGUUAUGAACAAUAAUUUGUUAUCUACUUAAUACAAUUUAAUCUUAACACAAUUACAAAUUAUAAGGGUUCAUUCAUUAGGUGGUAAUGACAAAAUCUUCAAUCACUUAUUUGCUAACUAAAUAUUACAGUUGACCUUGCUAAAUAUGUUAAUUAAGAUUCCAUUAUCCAAAACAACAAAUGAUUGGCCAUUAGAGUGUUGCUUGGUGCUUUUACCAAAACUAGGAGAAUAUGGUCUGAUAAUAUUAUUUUGAAGUACACAAUCUGGUGAAGGAUUAUGUGUCCUUCCGGAAGACUGAAAUGGUGGCAAACGUCUGCGUCGGAAACCUCUGGGUUCAUCAUCGACAUUACAGACAUGAAGUCGACUAACGAAAUACCGGCUACCGUUAUCACGAUGUUAAGUUACAUUCUCUAGCAUGUUUACUCCUGCUUGACCGAUGCUAUCUGUUCUUGAAGAAUUGAUCAUUCAACUUCGUCAUUCAACCUACUUUGAGGAAAUCGUGCAUAUUUAUUUAUAGAUUCCAUUCAGAAGAACUUGAAGUUGGACUCUACAAUUGUUCUCUAAAGCUUUUACUUGAAAUACAAUAUACUAGGCUUAGCUAUGUCCAUCACUUUUCGCCACACAAAUUAUACAACAUGACAAAUAUGUACUGUAAAAAGGGAGGUAUUUCUAUAAUUCUACUUACAAAGGACA